AGGGCUGUGACUCAGUGAUAGAGUGUUUGCCUCACACAUGUGAGGCCCUGAGUUCGAUCCUCAGCACCCCAU
rnacentral:tRNA from 1 species